UACGGAGGGUGCAAGCGUUAUCCGGAUUUACUGGGUUUAAAGGGUGCGUAGGUGGGUCUGUAAGUCAGUGGUGAAAUCUCCGAGCUUAACUCGGAAACUGCCAUUGAUACUAUAGGUCUUGAAUUAUCUGGAGGUAAGCGGAAUAUGUCAUGUAGCGGUGAAAAUGCUUAGAUAUGACAUAGAACACCAAUUGCGAAGGCAGCUUACUACGGAUUGAUUGACACUGAGGCCCGAAAGCGUGGGGAUCAAACAGG
rnacentral:rRNA from 1 species